rnacentral:rRNA from 1 species
CACGUAGGCACCAAGCGUUGUCCGGAUUUAUUGGGCGUAAAGCGCGCGCAGGCGGUCAAUUAAGUCUGGUGUUUAAGGCUGGGGCUCAACCCCAGUUCGCACUGGAAACUGGUUGACUUGAGUGCAGAAGAGGAAAGUGGAAUUCCACGUGUAGCGGUGAAAUGCGUAGAGAUCAUGAGGAAGACCAGUGGCGAAGGCGGGUCUCUGGACAGUUCCUGACACUGAGGCACGAAGGCCAGGGGAGCAAACGGG